AUUGAACGCUGGCGGCAGGCCUAACACAUGCAAGUCGAACGAGUGGCGGACGGGUGAGUAAUGUCUGGGAAACUGCCCGAUGGAGGGGGAUAACUACUGGAAACAGUGGCUAAUACCGCAUACAAUCGGAUGUACACAUAUUGGAUGAGCGAGUAGGUGGGGUAAAGGCUCACCUAGGCGACGCUCCCUAGCUGGGCUGAGAGGAUGACCCGCCACACUGGCACUGAGACACGUGCCAGACCCCUAUGUGAGGCAGCAGUGGGGAAUAUUGCACAAUGGGCGCAAGCCUGAUGCAGCCAUUCCGCGUGUAUGAAGAAGGCCUUCGGGUUGUAAAGUACUUUCAGUGAGGAGGCGUUACUCGCAGAAGAAGCACCGGCUAACUCCGUGCCAGCAGCCGCGGUAAUAC
rnacentral:rRNA from 1 species